rnacentral:rRNA from 1 species
GUUGAUCCUGCGGGAGGUUGCUGCUAUUAGGAUUCGACUAAGCCAUGCAAGUCAGGGGGACUUCGGUCACCGGCAUAAGGCUCAGUAACACAUCGAUAAUUUGCCCUUAGGUUCGGGAUAACCACGGGAAACUGUGGCUAACACCGAAUAGAGUAAUAGUACUGGAAUGUCGUUACUUCAAAAGUAAUGCCUAAGGAUAAGAUGGCGGCCGAUUAGGUUGUUGGUGAGGUAAUGGCUCACCAAGCCGAAGAUCGGUAGGGGCCCUGAGAGGGGUAGCCCCGAGAAGGGUACUGAGAUACUGACCCUAGCCCUACGGGGUGCAGCAGGCGCGAAACCUUUACAAUGCACGAAAGUGUGAUAAGGGAAUCCUAAGUGCUCUACUUAUUAGUAGGGCUUUUGCCAAAUGUAAAUAGUUUGGCGAAUAAGUGGUGGGCAAGACUGGUGCCAGCCGCCGCGGUAACACCAGCGUCCACAAGUGGGAACCAUGAUUAUUGGGCCUAAAGCGUCCGUAGCCUGUUUGGUAAAUUCUUUGUGAAAUUGUUAAGCUCAACUUAACAACGUGCAGAGGAGACUGCCAGACUCGGAACCGGGAGGGGUUAGAGGUAUUCUUGGGGGAGCGGUAAAAUGUUAUAAUCCCUUGAAGACCACCUGUGGCGAAGGCGUCUAACCAGAACGGAUUCGACGGUGAGGGACGAAAGCUAGGGGAGCAAUCCGGAUUAGAUACCCGAGUAGUCCUAGCUGUAAACUCUGCGAGCUAGGUGUUGCAUAAUCUUCGAGAUUAUGCAGUGUCGUAGCGAAGGUGUUAAGCUCGCCGCCUGGGAAGUAUGGUCGCAAGACUGAAACUUAAAGGAAUUGGCGGGGGAGCACUACAAGGGGUGCGGCGUGCGGUUUAAUCUAAUUCAACGCAGAGAAUCUCACCAGAAGCGACGGCAGGAAGAAGGUCAGUCUAAAGGGCUUACCUGACGAGCCGAGAGGUAGUGCAUGGCCGCCGUCAGCUCGUGCCGUAAGGUGUCCUGUUAAUUCAGGCAACGAGCGAGACCUGUGCUUACAAUUGCUAACGAGUCUUUUUAGAUGAUCGAGCACAAUGUGAGAACUGCCUCUGAAAAGGGGAGGAAGGUGCAGGCUACGGUAGGUCUGUAUGCUCCGAAUCUUCUGGGCUACACGCGCACAACAAUGGUAUGGACAAUGGGCUACAACUCCGAAAGGAGAAGUUAAUCCUCGAAACCAUAUCUUAGUUCAGAUUGAGGAUUGUAACCCAUCCUCAUGACGCUGGAAUCCCUAGUAAUCGGAGUUUAUCAUACUCCGGUGAAUAUGUCCCUGCUCCUUGCACACACCGCCCGUCAAGCCACCCGAGUAGGGUUUAGAUGAGGCCUUAUUUUGAAUAAGUUCGAAUCUAAACUCAGCGAGGAGGGCUAAGUCGUCACAAGGUA